rnacentral:lncRNA from 1 species
GUUACGGUGCGGUGCCUAUUCACACUAAUUAUUUUCUCAGAUAAGAAAAACUCACACUAUUAGGCUGGGUUCGAAGUUCCUCCGCUCCGCGGCUAUGCUUCCGGAGCAGACCGAGCUGUAGUUAAAAUUAGUAGAGCGGUUACACAUAUGCUUUGUAUAUUCUUAAAUUUAUUUUGCCUCAACCGUUACGUUGGCCCACCUAUUAGCUCUCUCCUAUCUCCCUUCAUUUAUUUUUCUCUUUACACAUUCCAUCAAAUAGCUUCAGUGUAGUACCGAACGCGGAUGAUGAUGGGAAGGGCGUCGCCGCUAGUGAUGGCACCAGCUCGGCGAGGAAGCGCAGCUGGAGUCCAGCGCGUGCGGCUCAGUUCGGGAACUCCACCACCAGCACGGUCUCCCCCUUCCGCCAGCUUGGACUUCGGGCACACCUCGCCGGUCACGUGCGCCGCCGACCUCGAUCGCAGGGGCUUAAGCGUCCCCAGCUGAGAGCAGAUCAAGGAGGAGGGCGGGAACUACUCCGGCGACCUCUAGGUAGCUCCGCUGCGCCACAAGUCCAUGCAGGAGACGUCUCUCGGCCGGCUAACUGUUGCUCCGCCGCGCGCCUGCGCCAGAAGCACGCGCAGGAGGCACCUCGCGGCCGGCUAGCCGCUGCGCCAGGAGCACGCGCAUGAGGCACAUCGCGACCGACCCGAUGCUUCUCCUGUGUGCCACGAGUCCGCGUAGGAGGCGCCUGACAGUCGGCCCGCUACCGCUACACUUG